rnacentral:lncRNA from 1 species
UAACAAUGCUAUAGAUGUAUGCAUUGGGCUUAGUGCUUCCUUGUUCCAUUACCCUAAGCAAAUCGAAAGUUUUUUGAGUAUGACCCCUUUUGCUAAGCCCAUUCAUGACAAUUGAAUACAUGAAUUCAUCAGGCUCACAAAUAUGCUCUCUCACCAACUUUUUGAACAAGUUAACUGCAUCUUUGAUUUUAUUUUCAGCAAAGAGUCCCCUUAGUAAGGUGCUAAAGGUGACAACAUUAAAUGGAAUGCCACUCUUCAAGUAAAUGGCUAACACUGAAAAUCCGCAGUCAGAACGAUGCAUUAGGCAAAAACUGUUGGAGUAUGAUCCCUUUUGUUAAGCCCAUUCAUGACAAUUGAAUACAUGAAUUCAUUAGGGUCACUAAUAUUCUCUCUCACCAACAUUUUGAACAAGUUAAUUAACCGCAUCUUUUAUCUUAUUUUCUGCAAAGAGUCACCUUAGCAGGGUGCUAAAGGUGACUACAUCAAAUGGAAUGCCACUCUUCAAGUAAAUGGUUAACACUGAAAAUCCACAGUCAGAUCAAUGAAUUAGGCAAUAACUGUUAAUUGCUAUAUUCAAGAUAAAAUCAUUAAUUGGGAUGCCUCAUUUCUGCAUUUGUCGAAAAAGUGAAAGAACAGCAGAGUAAUGCUUCAUAU